rnacentral:rRNA from 1 species
CGGGGUGAGUAAUGCUUGGGAAUCUGGCUUAUGGAGGGGGGUAACUACGGGAAACUGUAGCUAAUACCGCGUAGAAUCGGGAGAUGAAAGUGUGGGACCUUCGGGCCACAUGCCAUAGGAUGAGCCCAAGUGGGAUUAGGUAGUUGGUGAGGUAAAGGCUCACCAAGCCGACGAUCUCUAGCUGGUCUGAGAGGAUGACCAGCCACACUGGGACUGAGACACGGCCCAG